ensembl:snRNA U6 U6 spliceosomal RNA
UUGCUUCAGCAGCAAAUGUACUAGAAUUGGCAACAUACAGGAGAAGAUUAACAUGGCCCCUGUGCAAGGAUGACAUGCAAAUCUGUUAAGUGUUCUAUAUAGAA